UUGAUUUGAAGCAAACCCUUUUCUUUUAAAAAAAGGAAGGGUUUUGCGAAUAUAUUUAAAACCCCCCACUCUUUUAAAAUAAAAUUUUCAUAUCUUUAUGAAUAAAAAAAGA
rnacentral:misc_RNA from 1 species